rnacentral:rRNA from 1 species
CUCUAAUCGAAAUUAUAAUUAGUAAAAUCUGCUCAAUGAAUAAUAAAUAGCCGCAAUUUAUUGUGCUAAGGUAGCAUAAUCAUUUGUCUUUUAAUUAAAGACUAGAACGAAAGAUUUAACAUUUAAAUAACUUUAUUUUAAACAAUUUUUAAACUUAUUUUAAAUAUAAAAAAAUAUUUAUAAUCAAAAAAGACGAUAAGACCCUAUUGAACUUAACUUAAGUUAAACUGGGGUAGUUAAUUAAUUACAAUUUUAAUUAAAUAUAAUACCCAAAAGACCCAAUAAAAUUGAUUAAUUGAUCAAGUUACCAUAGGGAUAACAGCGUAAUAAAUUUUUCAAGACCUCAUUUUAAAAUUAGAUUGCGACCUCGAUGUUGAAUUAAUUAUCUAUUAAAUGCAAUAAUUUAAUAAGAAAGUCUGUUCGACUUAUAAAUAAUUAC